GCCACUAAGUCUUGAGCUCCUGGCAUGCUGGGGCAGAUCUUGGAAUGUGCUGGCCACUAGCACUGAAUACAGGCCUUGGCACAUCAUAAGAGUUUAAUGGUGCAAUGAUUAUGUGUAGGUGAGAUCAGGGAGAUGAAAAGAACCAAAUUUGGAGAAAAUCUGAGGAAGAAAAGGGUUGAAGGCUUGAAGGCAAUGGAAGAAGAGGUGCAAAGGCUCUCAGGUGAAUGCAAGUAGCAUCUUGAGAAAGAAGAAUAAGGCUGGAACAUGGGGAAUCCAAGUCUCAAAAUAACCCUUCCAAGGACAGCAUGCCAGGCACUUGCUGGUGAAAUGAAGAGUUUGGAGAAAUGCUGGUAGUGACAGCUACUUUGUUCUGCUUUCCAGUGGAGGUGGGAGAAGAGUAUCUGUGGCUGACUCUCAUGCCAGCCACUUGAUUUGUGUGUCAGCAUGACCAGUGGGGAACACAGGAAAUUAUAGGCUACAAGUUACUUCAAUGCCAUCAGCCUGCAGAGACUGAGCAACUCUGCCCAAGAGCAGCUAGAGAGUAGUUUGACUCCCUUGCUACAGUGGUUCUGUCAUUUAUUCUGUGGUAUAAUUCUUCAACCCUA